AGUGAACGCUGGCGGUAGGCCUAACACAUGCAAGUCGAACGGCAGCACAGUAAGAGCUUGCUCUUACGGGUGGCGAGUGGCGGACGGGUGAGGAAUACAUCGGAAUCUACUUUUUCGUGGGGGAUAACGUAGGGAAACUUACGCUAAUACCGCAUACGACCUACGGGUGAAAGCAGGGGAUCUUCGGACCUUGCGCGAUUGAAUGAGCCGAUGUCGGAUUAGCUAGUUGGCGGGGUAAAGGCCCACCAAGGCGACGAUCCGUAGCUGGUCUGAGAGGAUGAUCGGCCACACUGGAACUGAGACACGGUCCAGACUCCUACGGGAUGCAGCAGUGGGGAAUAUUGGACAAUGGGCGCAAGCCUGAUCCAGCCAUACCGCGUGGGUGAAGAAGGCCUUCGGGUUGUAAAGCCCUUUUGUUGGGAAAGAAAAGCAGCAGGUUAAUACCCCGCUGUUCUGACGGUACCCAAAGAAUAAGCACCGGCUAACUUCGUG
rnacentral:rRNA from 1 species